rnacentral:lncRNA from 1 species
AUGGUUUGGGUCCAAACUAUUAGCCUCUUCCAAGCUCUUUAUUCCUUUGAACACAAUCCAUUGGGAAGGAUGAAAGCUCUGGGAGAAAGCUUUUGUGAAACCUGUAAGACCUCUACAAAAAUGUCAUUUUUUCCCCUCCUCAGGAAGAGUUUAAAACACAUAUCCAACAUCACAUCUGGUGUCAGAUAUAUUUACCCUAAAAUCCUGACCACACUGAAGCAAUGUUUUAAAACUACAAAAUGUUUAACUGAAACAUUGUGAAUUCAUCAUCUGUAUUUUAUAUGUGCUUCCUUCCUCUUACAGCCAAAUGUAAAGCUGCCCAAGAAUGGUUUCCUACUCCUCUUCUAAUAAGAAACCCUUUCUUUCUUCUUGUAAAAAUUGCCACCUGUAUACCUGGACAAGGUUCUAAGAGUAUCUGCAACAGAAAUGUGAUGAGUGGUGAAACUGUGAGGUGAUAAUGGCAGUUUGUCCAUCUUACAAUAAUAGAUUUUGAUAAAAAUAACAUAUUUGAUUUACUCACAACUUUCAUGUGUUCAGCAUACACAGGCACAAAUCUUAUCAGUCCAGUUUCAGAUAUGUUUGAGAUAAUUCUCUGUGCCAGCCGGCCAAGACAUCUCUUACAGCCAAAAAGCAAGUGUGUGAUCUGAGGUCUGAAGUAGUCUCUGUAGUCUGUCUGUAGCCCCUUUUAUAAUUUCUCAAGAACCAUAGAAUAAAGGAAGCUGUAUACAAGAACAUACAUACAAACAACAAGCAACAGGAUCAUGGAUAAACAUUACUAGAGAAGGCUUGAAGAAGGUUGUCAUUUCCAACACUAUACUUCAGAGGAAGGAAUGGCAAAACAGUCUUUGAGCAUUCUUUGCCCAAGGAAACUCUAUGGAUUUCAUGAGGUUGCCAUAAGGCGACUUAACACACGUUUUUCUACCCUCCCUGCUAAAUGACUGAAUCGUUCUUGUGCAUCUCGUAUGUACCUACUUAAGUUAUAGAGAAGAGUGUAAUGCUUUACUAAGGACAAUAUAAAGGGAGCAUACUUUAACGGUUAACCAAAGCAAGAUAAUACUGACCAUAUCCAAUCAUAAGGAACUUAAAUUCCCUUGGCCAGCACACACAGAAAUAUAUAUUUGUCUUUUCCAUGCCUAUAUCUGCUAACCAAAGCAACCAGUUUUUACUUGUUUAAUUAUUACUGAAUAAAAACUGUCAGUCCUUUCAAACAUGCCAAAGGGUGGAUUCUCUCUGAUUCAUAUGGUUCUGAAAGCCAAGCAGGCCUCAGUAUCAGGAAUGUCAGGCCAAGAUAGAGGAGGAGUGGAGGAAGAGAAGGGAGAAGAGAAGGAUGAAGCAGCAACAGAUAAGCAAAGACGCAGCCCCAUCAAAUCCCCUUUCAGAUGUUUCUAAUUCUUUUUUGACUUUGAUUUAAUAUGACGUUUUUGGCUCAGUUUUAAAAUUGGUGAAGAUAAUAUUGCAAGAAGAUUAAAGGCAUCUUUUGAUAUAUCUUAACUGAUUUGGCACUGAGAUGGGAAGAUUUAUGUAUUUUUUCAUGUAUGCUUAAAGUUGUCACCACUCCCAAGACUUUUGUCAAAAUCUCUGCAUGGAUUGCUUGCAUAAUUUAAGUAUAUAGAUGCAGCACAAUGCAAUAGAUAAGUGGCGUGUUCCAAAAAGAAAUUCUAGGUGUUUAAUCUUUUGCAGCAAAAUAUAACAGAGACUGGCUAGCCACUUACCAAGAAUGACCCCUCUGAUGAAGUCACCAAGUCAAUUGAUCCAGUGCCAAAAGCCCAAACAUUUCAAUAAUCAGAUGGCUGAUAUUAUUUCCUAAUAUCAUCAGCCCAUAUAGAUGUAUUAACCUACUUAUUAUCCAACACGAUAUACAUCUUUACUUACCAACAAUAUACCAUUAGUCAUUUGACAAUAAUGCAGUUCUUCUGCCUUAGCGAGAACAAAUAAGUUAACACACAAAUGGAAAUUUGGAAUCAAACCCAAUCAUUCAGAAAUCAGCAGGAGAUAAUUUCCAUCAUUCUUCCAUGAUGAUGCUCAUAGCAGUUGGGUAGUAGCAAAGGAUUUAGACUCCAAAAAUUGUGCAAGGAGGGAAGGUCAAACUUUCUGCUCAUGUAGCCAAGUACCAUCUAAUAAGAAUGGCAGAAGGGAUCUUGGCCCCCAAAACAUUCUCUUUCACACCUGAGGGGGAGAGAAUUGGGCUCUCCAGAUGUUAUUGGACAGAAAUUCCUGUCUUCCCUACUCAGCAUAGUCAUUGGUGAAGAAAAUGAGAGCUGUAUUCCAAAAUAUCUCCAGGGCAUGCCCAUAACCAAUCUUGCUUGUUGACCGUGGUACUUUAAGCCCCACUGUGAAAUAAAGAAGCCAGACAACGUAUGUAUAGUAUAAAGGGGCCAUUAUCUGACCUAUAUAUUUAACCAAUGCAUCAACAAGGGCCACACCAUUAUAGUGCUAUGAUUCCUUUUUUCCUGGGUCAGUCUUAUGGAAUGAUAGGUUUUGCAGUUUAGGAAGGGGUAUUUGGAAAUCUCUUGUGGGUAGAUGCAGGGAACACUGUGGAUGUAGCGUAUCUGGAUUUCAGUAAGGCCUUCGACAAGGUCUAGAUCCAG